rnacentral:tRNA from 1 species
GCCUAGGUGGCUCAGUCGGUUGAGCAUCUGACUUCAGCUCAGGUCAUGAUCUCAUGGUUCGUGAGUUUGAGCCCCACAUCGGGCU